rnacentral:lncRNA from 1 species
GUGACCAUCUGAUGUUAAAUGAAGUAGUCACACGGUUUGUGACUUUUUUGUUUCAAGGAUGGGAUUCACAAGAACUGUGACUCAUUAAUGUUAAAUGAAGAAAUCAUAUGGUUUAUGAUCUUUCAAUUCAAAAAGUACGAUUCAUAAGGUUUGUGGCAUGUUUAGUUAGACUAAUAGGAAUCAUAUGGUUUGUGAUCCAAAUAGAUGAAUAAAUUAAGGAUUUAAGAGUUGGCAAGGAUGUUAUAUAACUAUGGGAUGUUAAAAUCACAUUUAGACAUAUGAAAGUGUGUUUUAUUGGCGAGAAUAUGCAAAAAGGUUGGAAAUUAACCAUAUAACAUGCAUAUGGAUUGUAAAAUAUGCCCAAUCAGCGUAUUAUAUGAUGACCUGUAGGCUCAUUCACCAAAUGCUACUGACCUACACCGAACGAAUACGUCCAAGAGGAUUUAUGAGCGGCGCAUAACAGGUCGGGUUGGCAUAUCAUACGCUGAUUGGUUUUUUCAUGAAGGGUUGAUUCGGUGGUUGGUGUAUAAUGGUCUGUUUUGUAUAUAUUUUAUCACUAGCCUUUACUAACUAGUGUGGUGUAUGUGUUUUUUGGUAUGAAUUGAGAAACUAGAAGUCACACAUGAUCAAGAUGUUGGGAAUCAAGGAUCAACACACCUUUUGUAAAUGAUGGGUCAUCUGUAUGUAUUAUAAGUACUUAAUUAGGCUCGUUAGGUUUUCAUACCCUAUGUUGGAAUCAAAUAUGGAUGUCCUUUGUAUUUAGACAAGUUAUUCUUAUUGUAUAUAAAUGGCAAGUUGAACUUUGAUAAUCAAAACUAUAACCUAUUUGAUGUAGUAUCGAAUUAAAUAUACCAAGAAGGUUAAAUUGUCAACCAGAUUUCGCAUGCAUGCAACUUUGGUCACAAUCAUUGAAGUUGCUGAUGUGUUCCCCAAGUUCGCCACACCUCCAUUGACGGUUAUGGAGAUUAUGAGUUGUUUUAGAUGUUUGUAA